AAUUAAUGCGAAAACUAGCAGACAUGUAACUGAUUUUGUUUUCUUGUGGCCGUUUGUCUGUAUCUUUUCUUCACGGUUUUCACUGCUUGUUUGUGCCACCUUUCUCUGUCUUUCAUUUAUUACGGCUUCGAGAUUUUUUUUCCCUUUACUUGCAUUUCGCUUGAAAUCUACGUGUGUGUAUAAUAUUUUGCACCUAAUUUCUAGCUUCGUCUUUCUUUCUAGUUUGAUCUCCUUCUACACUUUAGUGGAUCUCUUCAUUUCAUUUGUAGAUUUGGGCGAUUAGUCAUUCCCUUUCUCUCAAUUAUGCACCUUCCUAAAUUUGUCUUGACUAAAGAUUUUUCUGAUAUUCUAAAAUAGUAUGAUCUGUUUGGCUGGUGUUUGGAUCUUGUGUCGCCAGUUACACUUUUGGUUUUCAGCAUUUUCUUUGAAAAUUUGAAUAUAGAUUCCCCAAAUCUCUCUAAUUCCAAUGAUUAUAACUCCAGAUUUCAUAUGUUGCCCCAACAGUAGAAAUUCUUAAUUCCUAGUUGGUGACAUAAACUCAGAAAGAAUAAUUCUGUACAGGCAAUAUAUUCAUUGAAAAUUGAAUUCUGUGGUUUAGAACUUCUAUUAUUUAGACCAGCUUUUUAUUCACACUUAAAACAAUUUGAUGUUGGCUAUCUGGAGAUAGUAAUCUUCGUUUCUCGGGGAUAACGAAAUUCAAAAAUUGUAUAUUCUCGAUGUUUGUGUUCUCAUUUUUGCAGUAAGUGGCUUUAGGAUGGAAGAUUUUGGGCCUUCCAUUCACAGCACUGGCAACUUUGGCUGCUGAAUGGAAGUCCAUAUUUCUCAUUUUCAUACAUCUUUCUUUUUAUAUUAUUUGUGCCUAUAUCCUAAUUAAGGUGCAAUAAUUUAUAUGCUGUCUCUCAACCUCAGAUAUCAAUUUGUUAAUAUAUUUAACAGUGGUUAAAGCAUUUGGCUUGAUUUAGAACAGGAUAAUCCUAGAGUUGCUAGCUAUUAUUGUUGCCCAGGGAGUAGGACAGAAUGCUGAUUCUUAUUUUUAUUUUCAUUGUAUCUUUUGGAAACCAUGAGAUAUCAAUUUUCAACUUGUCUUUCCCUCCUUUUUCUUUCUCCCCUAUAAGGAUCGAUGGAGACAAAAAUAUAUCUUUUCCGUACUAAUGCUGGAAUAAUCUCAAAUAAAUUAAUAUGUUGAUAAAAAAAAUCUUAAAUGUUUGUGUAUAUUCUAAUUAAAUUUUCCCAUUUUGUACCUUGAUGAUUUUCUAGGUGUUGUAUUAGCUUUCCACUUUAUUUUAAAAAUAUGUUUUUAGUAUGAUGUUUCUGAGUAUGUUAUCUUCACAAUUUUCAGGAAACCUUGUUCUGGGUACAAAAUGAAGGAGAUGACUGGCAGUAGAAUUUUUGCAGCCAAUGGAGAUGAUACAUCUGAAUCUGGUGGUGCCAAUCCCACACCAAACAACAGAACAGGACUACGCAUGUACCAGCAAGCACUUGCUGGAAUCAGUCAUAUUUCAUUUGGAGAAGAAGAGGGUGUUUCACCCAAAAAACCUACUACUUUACCUGAGGUGGCAAAGCAACGAGAACUAAGUGGGACCUUAGAAAGUGAGGCUGAGAAAGAGGCCAGGUUGAAGAAGCAGCUUUCUGAAGCCAAGUGCAAGGAGCUCAGUGGACAUGACAUCUUUGCACCUCCUCCAGAAAUUUUACCACGGCCAAUGACAGUGCGUGCUUUGGCAUUGAAAGAAAGCAUUGAAUUGGGAGAACCUGCUCCACGUGAUAUACACACUUCCAUCAAAGUUUCUAACCCUGCUGGAGGUCAGAUGUCUAGC
rnacentral:misc_RNA from 1 species